CGGCGGAUCCGGCCGCUCCGGGACGCUCCCCCCCCCCCACACCCCGCGUGGGAAAAGCCCGGAUUUGGGGGUUUUUGGGGAUGUUUGGGGGUUUUUGGGGGUGUCCCGGUUGAUCCCGGGAGAAGGGCAGCCCGGGAUUGCCGCUGGGAGCCGCCCACGGGCCCGGGAGGGGCUCCCGGGACUCGCCAGACAGGUCCCGCUGGUGGCCCCGGGGCUCGCGGAGGGCGUGGGAAGGGCCCCGCGCGUGUCCCGGCACACGGAGGGGACCGCGAGGGGACAGCGGGGACACCCCGGGGACAGCGGGGGGACGGGGGUGCGGGUGGGUGUCCGUCCGUACCGGGAGAACCGCGGGGAGCUCGUACCGUGGGGUGGCCGUGGGGUGGCCCUGGGGCCGUGGGGUGACCAUGGAGUGUCCCCAGGGUGGCCUUAGAGUGUCCC
rnacentral:lncRNA from 1 species